GUCUAUGGCCAUACCACCCUAAACAUGCCCAAUCUCGUCUGGUCUCAGAAGUUAAGCAGGGUCAGGCCCAAUCAGUACUUGGAUGGGAGAAAGAUCUUCAGAAGAGACU
rnacentral:rRNA from 1 species